CCAAAAUUCUUGUCUUAGAUUUGUCUAAAUACGAAUGUAUCUAGUUACAUUUUAGUAUUAGAUACAUCCAUAUCUAUACAAAUCUAAGACAAGAAUUUUGGGACAGAGGGAGUAUAAG
rnacentral:pre_miRNA from 1 species